AACGCGAAGAACCUUACCUGGGCUUGACAUGUGGGUGACCGGUGUGGAAACACACCUUCCCUUCGGGGCACCUUCACAGGUGGUGCAUGGCUGUCGUCAGCUCGUGUCGUGAGAUGUUGGGUUAAGUCCCGCAACGAGCGCAACCCCCGUCGCAUGUUGCCAGCAUUCAGUUGGGGACUCAUGCGAGACUGCCGGUGACAAACCGGAGGAAGGUGGGGAUGACGUCAAGUCCUCAUGCCCCUUAUGUCCAGGGCUACACACGUGCUACAUUGGCGCAUACAGAGGGCCGCGAUACCGCGAGGUGGAGCGAAUCCCUUAAAGUGCGUCUCGGUUCGGAUUGCAGGCUGAAAUUCGCCUGCAUGAAGGCGGAGUUGCUAGUAAUCGCGGAUCAGCAUUGCCGCGGUGAAUACGUUCCCGGGCCUUGUA
rnacentral:rRNA from 1 species